UUUAUUUAAAGAAAGACCCGGUU
rnacentral:snRNA from 1 species